AAGAAGAAGAAAAACGUCGCAGGAGUAAGGAAAGUCAAAGAAAAGAAGAGGAAAGACCACAUAAAAACAAAAGGAAGAAAAGACCAAUGAAUUUAGGGGCGUAUCACUCUCCAGAACACACAACAAUUGAGAAACCACGCCGUAGAGCAUCAGGCUACUUUCGAAUUUUAUGGAGACGCCCUGUCCCUCAAAACGAACGGAUGAUGUACCUGUCUCCUUAUUACUUUUAAAGUGAUAAUGGCUUACGGAAACAGGUGUUAAACAGGGUUAUUGUCGUAAAGGACAACUUUUAACAUUUGUGUCUACAUAUAUGUAAUUGAUAGAAAUGUUUACAUCUACGCAGUCAGUUUAUCAAUGAUUUAGGACAACCUCCAAUUCGAGAAUACAUGUAUGUAAUUGAUAGAAAUGUUUUCAUCCACGCAGUCAAUUUAUCUGGAUUUAGAACAACUUCUUAUUUACGUAUACAGGUAUAUUGUUACAUGUCUCCCUUUAUCAGCUUAGUAAUCUCUGACUGCGAUUCGAUUAGAGUAUACACAGUAAAAAUGCUCAGUUGUAUGAUAAGCGCGGGAAUCGGUAGCAUAAUCAUGACGUCGUCUCUUUGUGAUGUUAUCGGAACGUCACCUAGACGGCGCCAUUUUGAAAAGACUGAUCAACUGAAACAUUUGCGUUAUGUGAUGAGGACAUUUUUUUACGUAUAGGUAGUCAAUGUGUCUGUGUUUUAGGACAACCUGAAACAUCUGUGAUGAUGACAAUUUUUUUUACGUUUGAGGUAGUCAAUAUAUCUGUGUUUUAGGACAACCUGAAACAUCUGUGAUGAGGACAUUUUUUUAAGUUUGAGGUAGUCAAUAUAUCUGUGUUUUAGGACAACCUGAAACAUCUGUGAUGAGGACAUUUUUUUACGUUUGAGGUAGUCAAUAUAUCUGUGUUUUAGGACAAUCUGAAACAUCUGUGAUGAGGACAUUUUUUACGUUUAGGUAGUCAAUAUAUCUGUGUUGUAGGAUUAUCUGUAGCAUCUGUGAUGAGGACAUUUUUUAAGUUGAGAUAGUCAACAUAUCCUGUUGUUGGACUAUCUGUAACAUCUGUGAUGAGGACAUUUUUUACGUUUAGGUAGUCAAUAUAUCUGACUUUUAACAAACUUUCAUGAUUUAAUGCAGAUGUACUGGUUAUGAGAUGAGGACGUUUUUUUUUAUGUCCGGUCUGUUUAUCUGUGAUUUAAGACAUCAUUUAACAAUUUUAUGUGAUAAAGAACAUCCUUUACGUCCAAGCUAUUUAUCUUUGGUUUGUGACAACCUGUAACAUAUGUAUGUGAUAAAAUACAUCAUGUAUGUCCAGACCCAAACUUUUAUCUGUGAUUUAGGACAACCUGUAACAUUGGUAUGUAAUAGAGGUUGAUGAGAAUAGUAUAAAACCUCUAAUCAAAACAAUAUAUAACCCCCUUAUCGGUAAUUAAUACCAUUAUUACAAUUAUAACAAUAUAUCUGACUUGUUGUUAGAUGUGUUUUUCAGUUGCUAUUUAUUUAUUUUGAUUACAUAGAACCUGACUUUUGGUGUGUUUAGAAAUUCUUUUUCGAAAUUAAGAAAAAAAUGCUGAUUAUAUGUUUAUCUCCUUUCUAAGACAAACCUAUAAGUAAGAAUUGUGAUAAGCCUAUAUACACCUUUAACACUUCAGUAGGCGAUUUAUAACACUUGUUACUGAAAAGUGAAAGGAUACAAGGUAUGCUGUGAUAUAUUAUUCUAUUCCAAAAAAGUGAAAUUUCACGUCGUGAAAUAUUUACUGAACAGCUCCUGUCAGAGCCCCAAAAUACAGCAAAUUUGCUACAUCGUAAGAGAUAAUACCCUGUGAUAAGGAAAUCAUACCUUCAAAAAAUGCCCAGAGUCGCAUCGAAGUUUACAAAUAAAAAGAAAUGUGAUAAUUUCCGUGUUUUGGAAUUGCGUUUUUAGCUCAGAUUUUAUAUCCGUAUAUGUUGCAAGUCGCAUUAUUUCAAUACUGAUAAUUUAAGAUGAUUGUUAUUGCGUGUAUGACUAAGGGAAACUUUUCCUGGCAGGUUAGCUAUCAUAUCUAUGUAAUGCUUCGUGUAUUUAUCUGUGAUAUCUGAUAAAUGGUGAGUAAUUAGAUGUUGGGUCUAUUUGGUUGCUUUGGUGGUAUAAAAACACUGUAUUUCAA